UACGGGGGGGGCAAGCGUUGUUCGGAAUUACUGGGCGUAAAGGGCUCGUAGGCGGCCAACUAAGUCAGACGUGAAAUCCCCAGGCUCAACCCGGGAACUGCGUCCGAUACUGGCAGGCUUGAAUUCGGGAGAGGGAUGUGGAAUUCCAGGUGUAGCGGUGAAAUGCGUAGAUAUCUGGAGGAACACCGGUGGCGAAGGCGGCAUCCUGGACCGAUAUUGACGCUGAUGCGCGAAAGCCAGGGGAGCAAACGGG
rnacentral:rRNA from 1 species